AUGUUUACAGAUCCCUUGCCGUACUCACUGUAUACUCGCCAAGAUCAUCAGCUGUCACCAGAUUGAUGAAGGUAUGCACUUUGCCUCUUUUCAGGUUGGGAAAGGCGCUUACAACAGUUUGAUACAACUGCCUGUUAGUCUCUUUGUCCGAAUUGUCCGUAUCUUUUUGUUUCAUCACUUGCUCGAUUACAUUAAAUCCAAUUAUAGGUUUAGGGAGUUGCUGACCUUUUAGAACAAGCAUAGGAAUGACUAAUUCUUUCACUCUUUCAGCAGGGGAGGCCAACCUGAACGUCACUUCAACCCAUCCUCCGUACGGCAUGUCAGUACCAUUGGCCGACACAAGAUGUAGGUGUUCGGGUGUUUCUGUGGCUUCAGAAAUAUCCCUCAGUCUAACUUCCGUAUUUAGCAGUGUUGAAAGUGGUGGUUACCUCACUGACCUGGGUGCCGUCGCUUCUGAACUCACUGUCUCAAGCGCACGCACCACUAAAUCAGCCUGGUCUCUCCACUUCACUCUGCAGCCUCACUGCUGUACGUCUGGGUAAGAGAUGAAUGUGACUGGGUGGUUCUCGCUGAUGAAGGAGUCAGUCCACCCAACAAUCAUCCCAGCGGUGCCUCCAAAAUUGUAGUACUCCUUUACCUGUAAGUAACAAGACAAUGAAAAGAAGAACGCAUUUGUGAUGGCUUCUCGUCUUUGCAUUUACUACGAAUGAGCAUCACUGGCGCGCAGGCUGCUAUGAGAUGCGUGCGAUGACGUCAUCACACUGGUAGGUUAUGCCA